rnacentral:rRNA from 1 species
UCGAGAAUCUUUCGCAAUGGGCGCAAGCCUGACGGGGCAACGCCGCGUGAAGGAUGAAGUAUUUCGGUAUGUAAACUUCGUAAGAAUAGGAAGAAUAAAUGACGGUACUAUUUGUAAGGUCCGGCUAACUACGUGCCAGCAGCCGCGGUAAUACGUAGGGACCAAGCGUUGUUCGGAUUUACUGGGCGUAAAGGGCGCGUAGGCGGCGUGGUAAGUCAUCUGUGAAAUCUCCGAGCUUAACUCGGAACGGUCAGAUGAUACUGCUGUGCUAGAGUACAGAAAGGGCAAUCGGAAUUCUUGGUGUAGCGGUGAAAUGCGUAGAUAUCAAGAGGAACACCUGAGGCGAAGGCGGGUUGCUAGGCUGAUACUGACGCUGAGGCGCGAAAGCUAGGGUAGCAAACGGGAUUAGAUACCCCCGUAGUCCCUGAGCGGGCUGGCAAGGCGCAU